CUGUAACAUUGAUUUAGCAGCGCCAGUGUCCAACAGGAAAGGGACUAUUCGGUCCCUGGGCAGUGUAACAUUGAUAAUGGGUGAGGGUCCUGCAGAGUCAGGGAUAUUUAUAAUAUGUAGGGACACUGGUUUGCCAAUUUCCUAUUGGGGGGAGGGGGGGAGGUGGUGGAGGUGGUUGGCUGUCAUGGGAGUUAUCAUUAGAAUCCUGGGGUUUUCUAUUUUUAGGAGGACACUUGCAGUUACGUUUAAUGUGUCC